UGAGAAUGCUUAAUUUUUUUUAUUGGACGAGAAGACCCUAUAGAUCUUUAAUAUAUUUGAUUUAAUUUUAUUUAGUUUAUUUUGUUAUUUAGAUUAGUUAUUUUUUUGUUGGGGUGACAAAAGGAUCAUAAAUUAACUCCUUUUAUUAUUAUACAUUUAUUUUUGAAUAUUUGACCUUUUAAUAUUGUUAUAAGAAUUAGAUACCUUAGGGAUAACAGCGUAAUUUUUUCUGAGAGUUCUUAUCGACGAAGAAGAUUGCGACCUCGAUGUUGGAUUAAGACUAUAACCAGGGGUAGAUUUUUGGUUAUUGGGUCUGUUCGACCUUUAAAUUCUUACAUGAUCUGAGUUCAAACCGGAGA
rnacentral:rRNA from 1 species